UGUCAAGUCGAACGAUGAUGCCCAGCUUGCUGGGCGGAUUAGCUGGCGAACGGGUGAGUAACACGUGGAGUAACCUGCCCUUGACUUCGGGAUAACUCCGGGAAACCGGGGCUAAUACCGGAUAUGAGCCGUCCUCGCAUGGGGGUGGUUGGAAAGUUUUUCGGUCAGGGAUGGGCUCGCGGCCUAUCAGCUUGUUGGUGGGGUGAUGGCCUACCAAGGCGACGACGGGUAGCCGGCCUGAGAGGGCGACCGGCCACACUGGGACUGAGACACGGCCCAUACUCCUACGGGAGGCAGCAGUGGGGAAUAUUGCACAAUGGGCGAAAGCCUGAUGCAGCGACGCCGCGUGAGGGAUGAAGGCCUUCGGGUUGUAAACCUCUUUCAGCAGGGAAGAAGCGCAAGUGACGGUACCUGCAGAAGAAGCGCCGGCUAACUACGUGCCAGCAGCCGCGGUAAU
rnacentral:rRNA from 1 species